UUACUUACCUGGCAGGGGGAGGAUACCAUGAUCAAGAAGGUGGUUCUUCACCCAGGGUGAGGCUCGUCCAUUGCACUUUUCCGGAUUUGCUUGACCCCUGGCGAAUUCCCCAAAUGUGAAUCUCGACCUGCCAUAAUUUCUGGUAAGUGGGGGACUGCGUUCGCGCUCUUCCCCC
rnacentral:snRNA from 1 species